rnacentral:rRNA from 1 species
GGGGAGGGGGCCUGUGCUGGCGCGCGAGCGCAUGUGCACGGCUUCUGAUCUCGUCCCGUCUCCUUCUAUCAACCCCUGUGCACCUUUAUUGAUCGGGAUGCGGGAGAAGCGUGUCAGUAGGAUUAGCGUAGUAGUUGUGGGUCCACCAUAGCGAAAGGUUAAUCUGUUGAUCGGCGCGUGGUACCUCGCGCUCGACUCUUUACAAACCACCAAAUGUAGUCUUGUCGAACGUUCAGUCCUCUCGUGGGACGCUAAUACAAAUAUAACUUUCAACAACGGAUCUCUUGGCUCUCGCACCGAUGAAGAACGCAGCGAAAUGCGAUAAGUAAUGUGAAUUGCAGAAUUCAGUGAAUCAUCGAAUCUUUGAACGCACCUUGCGCCCUUUGGUAUUCCGAAGGGCACGCCUGUUUGAGUGUCAUGUUCUUCUCAACCCCUCGCAUUUGUUUGCUUGCGGGUUGGAUUUGGGGGUUGCAGGCUUCUGACGGGGUCGGCUCCCCUUGAAUGCAUUAGUGGGCAUCUGGCUCGCGUUGCUGGUGUGAUAGUCUCUUCAUCAUCGGCGGCGCCUGUCUAAUGGGUCUGCUUUCGAACCGUCUUCUCAAUGGAGACAACGUCCAGUCGAGCGAUCGACAUAGACAUCCCUUUGACCUCAAAUCAGGCGGGACUACCCGCUGAACUUAAGCAUAUCAA